rnacentral:rRNA from 1 species
UACGGGGUGCAGCAGGCGCGAAAACUUUACAAUGCGGGAAACCGUGAUAAGGGGACACCGAGUGCCAGCAUCAUAUGCUGGCUGUCCGGGUGUGUAAAAUACACCUGUUAGCAAGGGCCGGGCAAGACCGGCGCCAGCCGCCGCGGUAACACCGGCGGCCCGAGUGGUGAUCGUGAUUAUUGGGUCUAAAGGGUCCGUAGCCGGUUUGGUCAGUCCUCCGGGAAAUCUGAUAGCUCAACUAUUAGGCUUUCGGGGGAUACUGCCAGGCUUGGAACCGGGAGAGGUAAGAGGUACUACAGGGGUAGGAGUGAAAUCUUGUAAUCCCUGUGGGACCACCUGUGGCGAAGGCGUCUUACCAGAACGGGUUCGACGGUGAGGGACGAAAGCUGGGGGCACGAACCGGAUUAGAUACCCGGGUAGUCCCAGCCGUAAACGAUGCUCGCUAGGUGUCAGGCAUGGCGCGACCGUGUCUGGUGCCGCAGGGAAGCCGUGAAGCGAGCCACCUGGGAAGUACGGCCGCAAGGCUGAAACUUAAAGGAAUUGGCGGGGGAGCACAACAACGGGUGGAGCCUGCGGUUUAAUUGGACUCAACGCCGGACAACUCA